UGAAUGGAUGAAUGGUGGAUGACACCGGU
rnacentral:piRNA from 1 species